rnacentral:rRNA from 1 species
UUAAGCGACUAAGCGUACACGGUGGAUGCCCUGGCAGUCAGAGGCGAUGAAGGACGUGCUAAUCUGCGAUAAGCGUCGGUAAGGUGAUAUGAACCGUUAUAACCGGCGAUUUCCGAAUGGGGAAACCCAGUGUGUUUCGACACACUAUCAUUAACUGAAUCCAUAGGUUAAUGAGGCGAACCGGGGGAACUGAAACAUCUAAGUACCCCGAGGAAAAGAAAUCAACCGAGAUUCCCCCAGUAGCGGCGAGCGAACGGGGAGCAGCCCAGAGCCUGAAUCAGUGUGUGUGUUAGUGGAAGCGUCUGGAAAGGCGCGCGAUACAGGGUGACAGCCCCGUACACAAAAAUGCACAUGCUGUGAGCUCGAUGAGUAGGGCGGGACACGUGGUAUCCUGUCUGAAUAUGGGGGGACCAUCCUCCAAGGCUAAAUACUCCUGACUGACCGAUAGUGAACCAGUACCGUGAGGGAAAGGCGAAAAGAACCCCGGCGAGGGGAGUGAAAAAGAACCUGAAACCGUGUACGUACAAGCAGUGGGAGCCUCUUUUAUGGGGUGACUGCGUACCUUUUGUAUAAUGGGUCAGCGACUUAUAUUCUGUAGCAAGGUUAACCGAAUAGGGGAGCCGAAGGGAAACCGAGUCUUAACUGGGCGUUAAGUUGCAGGGUAUAGACCCGAAACCCGGUGAUCUAGCCAUGGGCAGGUUGAAGGUUGGGUAACACUAACUGGAGGACCGAACCGACUAAUGUUGAAAAAUUAGCGGAUGACUUGUGGCUGGGGGUGAAAGGCCAAUCAAACCGGGAGAUAGCUGGUUCUCCCCGAAAGCUAUUUAGGUAGCGCCUCGUGAAUUCAUCUCCGGGGGUAGAGCACUGUUUCGGCAAGGGGGUCAUCCCGACUUACCAACCCGAUGCAAACUGCGAAUACCGGAGAAUGUUAUCACGGGAGACACACGGCGGGUGCUAACGUCCGUCGUGAAGAGGGAAACAACCCAGACCGCCAGCUAAGGUCCCAAAGUCAUGGUUAAGUGGGAAACGAUGUGGGAAGGCCCAGACAGCCAGGAUGUUGGCUUAGAAGCAGCCAUCAUUUAAAGAAAGCGUAAUAGCUCACUGGUCGAGUCGGCCUGCGCGGAAGAUGUAACGGGGCUAAACCAUGCACCGAAGCUGCGGCAGCGACGCUUAUGCGUUGUUGGGUAGGGGAGCGUUCUGUAAGCCUGCGAAGGUGUGCUGUGAGGCAUGCUGGAGGUAUCAGAAGUGCGAAUGCUGACAUAAGUAACGAUAAAGCGGGUGAAAAGCCCGCUCGCCGGAAGACCAAGGGUUCCUGUCCAACGUUAAUCGGGGCAGGGUGAGUCGACCCCUAAGGCGAGGCCGAAAGGCGUAGUCGAUGGGAAACAGGUUAAUAUUCCUGUACUUGGUGUUACUGCGAAGGGGGGACGGAGAAGGCUAUGUUGGCCGGGCGACGGUUGUCCCGGUUUAAGCGUGUAGGCUGGUUUUCCAGGCAAAUCCGGAAAAUCAAGGCUGAGGCGUGAUGACGAGGCACUACGGUGCUGAAGCAACAAAUGCCCUGCUUCCAGGAAAAGCCUCUAAGCAUCAGGUAACAUCAAAUCGUACCCCAAACCGACACAGGUGGUCAGGUAGAGAAUACCAAGGCGCUUGAGAGAACUCGGGUGAAGGAACUAGGCAAAAUGGUGCCGUAACUUCGGGAGAAGGCACGCUGAUAUGUAGGUGAGGUCCCUCGCGGAUGGAGCUGAAAUCAGUCGAAGAUACCAGCUGGCUGCAACUGUUUAUUAAAAACACAGCACUGUGCAAACACGAAAGUGGACGUAUACGGUGUGACGCCUGCCCGGUGCCGGAAGGUUAAUUGAUGGGGUUAGCGCAAGCGAAGCUCUUGAUCGAAGCCCCGGUAAACGGCGGCCGUAACUAUAACGGUCCUAAGGUAGCGAAAUUCCUUGUCGGGUAAGUUCCGACCUGCACGAAUGGCGUAAUGAUGGCCAGGCUGUCUCCACCCGAGACUCAGUGAAAUUGAACUCGCUGUGAAGAUGCAGUGUACCCGCGGCAAGACGGAAAGACCCCGUGAACCUUUACUAUAGCUUGACACUGAACAUUGAGCCUUGAUGUGUAGGAUAGGUGGGAGGCUUUGAAGUGUGGACGCCAGUCUGCAUGGAGCCGACCUUGAAAUACCACCCUUUAAUGUUUGAUGUUCUAACGUUGACCCGUAAUCCGGGUUGCGGACAGUGUCUGGUGGGUAGUUUGACUGGGGCGGUCUCCUCCUAAAGAGUAACGGAGGAGCACGAAGGUUGGCUAAUCCUGGUCGGACAUCAGGAGGUUAGUGCAAUGGCAUAAGCCAGCUUGACUGCGAGCGUGACGGCGCGAGCAGGUGCGAAAGCAGGUCAUAGUGAUCCGGUGGUUCUGCAUGGAAGGGCCAUCGCUCAACGGAUAAAAGGUACUCCGGGGAUAACAGGCUGAUACCGCCCAAGAGUUCAUAUCGACGGCGGUGUUUGGCACCUCGAUGUCGGCUCAUC